rnacentral:rRNA from 1 species
AGCAGCCGCGGUAAUUCCAGCUCCAAUAGCGUAUAUUAAAGUUGUUGCAGUUAAAAAGCUCGUAGUUGAAUUUCGAGACCGGUUUACUGGUCGUGCUUUUGUACGUACUGGUAUUAUUGGUUUCUCCUUUCUGACGAAUCUUAAUGCCAUUAAUUUGGUGUUUUGGGGAAUCAGGACUGUUACUUUAAAAAAUUAGAGUGUUUAAAGCAGGCUCACGCUUGAAUACAUUAGCAUGGAAUAACGGAAUAGGACGUUUGAUUCUAUUUUGUUGGUUUCUAGGAUCGACGUAAUGAUUAAUAGGGAUAGUUGGGGCAUUAGUAUUCAAUUGUCAGAGGUGAAAUUCUUGGAUUUAUUGAAGACUAACUACUGCGAAAGCAUUUGCCAAGGAU